ensembl:scaRNA
GAUCUGUAGUCUUGGAGCCGCCCUGGGUUGGUGGUACCCUAGAGCACACCAGACUUGCAGAAAAAGCAUACUCCAGAGGAAGCUGAGGCAUGACUGCUCAAGAGCCAGCCGUUCUAUGUGCAAUUUUCCUCUGAUAGUUCCUGGGUGCUGUUGCCACGGUGAUAAUGACCGCGCCGUGUCAUUAUCUAUCGACGGACAGCAAGAGAAGCCUUGCAGUCGAGAUAUUGUUUAACAGACAGAGUGGUUUCUGUUGGACACUGAGUACUGCUACAUUU